rnacentral:ncRNA from 1 species
UGGUUGUGUGGGUGCAGACGCCGAGCUGGCGAGCCGGUGACCUGUGCAGCUGUGGUCAGAGCAGUUGCGCUGCAACCUUCGCGAUCUCCUGACGCAGAAGCUCGCUGGUCAGGUUGAAAAAGGCUCAGUGCCUGGUGGGUAGUUUAACUGGGGCGGUUGCCUCCCAAAGAGUAACGGAGGCGCCCAAAGGUUCCCUCAGCCUGGUUGGCAAUCAGGUGUUGAGUGUAAGUGCACAAGGGAGCUUGACUGUGAGACUGACGGGUCGAGCAGGGACGAAAGUCGGGACUAGUGAUCCGGCACCACCUUGUGGAAGGGGUGUCGCUCAACGGCUAAAAGGUACCCCGGGGAUAACAGGCUGAUCUUGCCCAAGAGUCCAUAUCGACGGCAUGGUUUGGCACCUCGAUGUCGGCUCGUCGCAUCCUGGGGCUGGAGUAGGUCCCAAGGGUUGGGCUGUUCGCCCAUUAAAGCGGUACGCGAGCUGGGUUUAGAACGUCGUGAGACAGUUCGGUCCCUAUCCGCCGCGCGCGUUGGAGACUUGAGGAAGGCUGUCCCUAGUACGAGAGGACCGGGACGGACGAACCUCUGGUGUGCCAGUUGUCCCGCCAGGGGCACGGCUGGUUGGCUAUGUUCGGGAGGGAUAACCGCUGAAGGCAUCUAAGCGGGAAGCCUGUUCCAAGAUGAGGUCUCCCACCACCUUUGAGUGGGUAAGGCUCCCAGGAGAUGACUGGGUUGAUAGGCCGGAGAUGGAAGCCCUGUGAGGGGUGGAGUUGACCGGUACUAAUAGGCCGA